CAUACUAGCUCAUUUGGUAGAGCAAUCGACUCAGAAUCGAUGGGUAACGGGUUCAACUCCCGUGUAUAA
rnacentral:tRNA from 1 species